rnacentral:misc_RNA from 1 species
GGAAAAAAAAAUAAUAGAAAUUUUGACAAUCAUGGUGAGUGUAUUUGUGAUAUUACCACCAACAUAUUUAAAGAAUCAUAUGUACUAUUGUCAACUAAGCACUUCAAUGAUGUAUGCAAUGCAGGUGCACGCCUUGUAAAACCCAUUCUCCAAAUUUGCUCAAUUAAUCAAAGGUUUAAUCACCAAAAGUUGGCAAAACUGCAAUUAUGGAAUCUUCUAUGGAAAUGACCUCUACUUCUGCUCUGAGUUGCAGUUCUAGCUAUAACCAAGAAUCUUUGACACUAUUGGUCUUUUGGAUAUGACAAGCUGAGCUGACUGGCUUAAAUCAGGUGAGUUGACAUACAUUGUCAACAAUUAUAUAGAUUAUUACUGUACCACCCUUUUCUCUCUCUCAU